rnacentral:rRNA from 1 species
UACGUAGGGUGCAAGCGUUAUCCGGAUUCACUGGGUUUAAAGGGUGCGUAGGCGGGUGAGUAAGUCAGUGGUGAAAUCUUCGAGCUUAACUCGGAAACUGCCGUUGAUACUACUUGUCUUGAAUACCGUGGAGGUGAGCGGAAUAUGUCAUGUAGCGGUGAAAUGCUUAGAUAUGACAUAGAACACCAAUUGCGAAGGCAGCUCACUACACGAAUAUUGACUCUGAGGCACGAAAGCGUGGGGAGCAAACAGG